AGAAAUGCUCCUUUGUGGCCACUGAUGGUUACUGUUACUGUGUUUUACAGAUACAUUGUUUUAAAACUAUCAAUUAUAAUUCAAAAUUCAGAAAGUAUGAUUGAGAAAGGUAUCAAAUUUAAAUAAUAUUUUAUUUAUUACUGUUCUGUGUGGAUGAUGUGCGUGGGGGUGGCACAUGUGUGGAAACUGGUGGACAACUUGGUGGGGUCUCUUCUUCCACCUUGAGUUCUGAGGAUCAAGCAAAGAUCAUCAGGCUUGUGUGUCAAGAAGCUCUUCCUGCUGAGCUUUGUCACUCGGCCAAUGUCAGAUUUUAAAAGAGAAGGCUAGCCACAGCAGGAGUUAGCACACAUCCACCAGUGUGCGUUUUUUAAUUUUUUUUGAGAAUUUUUAUACAUGAGGCCAAUGAAUUUUCUCAUCUCUUCCUUGCAACUCUUCCUGUGUCCCCACAAUGUCCCCUUCUCAAAACAUUCCAUUUUCAAAUUCACUUCUUCUUCCUCGAUAAGUAAUUUUACACCAUAUAUUCUACAGAGUCCAAGAUAUACCUGGGCUCUCAGAGCCUCAGUGUGUGUUGUGUUACAGAUACCCCAUUUGAAGACAGACACCCACAGUCACGUGUUCUCUGAACUCUGACAACAAUCUUGUGUUGCAGAAGAAACCCCUUGAUGACAGAUUAACCUGUCAGAAUGGCUAAGAUCAACAGAAGAAGUGACAGCUCAUGCUGGGGAGGAUAUGAAGCAAGAGGAGCACUCCUCAUUUGCUGAGCUCAGGGAACCCUGCAGAAGAGGAGGCAAUGUAUGCAAGAGCCAGAGGGGAUGAAGGACACCAGGACAGCAAAACCAACUAAAUCAACAGAGCAAGGCUCAUAUGAACUCACAGAGACUGAAGCAGCAGGCUUCAGAUUUGAAAGAUGUUGGAAAGUGGCAGAGGCAUGAAAGUAGAAAAGGCCAUUUCUGGAAAGAGAAA